rnacentral:snRNA from 1 species
GUGCUCACUUCGGCAGCACAUAUACUAAAAUUGGAAUGAUACAGAGAAGAUUAGCAUGGCCCCUGCACAAGGAUGACACACAAAUUCAUGAAGAAUUCCAUAUUUUU